GUUCGCUUUUUACCUUGUUCCAAAAGUUUGCAACAUGCGGAUUUUCCGCAAUUUUUAGUCCGCACUCACUUGGCUUAGUACCAGUAAUUAAUUAACCACGCCUCUGCAUAUUGGAACAAAUUGCUGAAUAACCUUUUUUAUCAAGCACAUGAUUGUUUCCUGCUUCCCAUCGUUCCCAACGACGUUCACAAAUACAUAUGCGUUUACAUAUUUAAAAAUUCUUGAUAAACCCUAAAAUCUAUAAAAUAAGAAUCACUCAGCAAGUUGAGGCCGAGAAAAGGACACGACAAUUAUUUCGCAUUCGCUUGUCAUAUAUUGGUUCAUACCUGAGAUUCUAAGGCUAAGAAACUUAUUCUUUGCUGGAAACAUGGACCAUGGAGAGAAACAUGAUUUAGUUGCAAAUGGACCCUUAUCCCUCCCAAAAUUGCCCUCACAUCAACAACCUCUCCUUAAAAGGAAGUCUUCAAAUCAGAAAUUCAUCGUGAUCCGAGGCUCAAAAUGUACCCUUCGCUUGGGAAGUUUUAUCGCUUGCGCACUCUUCCUCCUUCUCUUGGCAAUCUUAAUUAUCGGUGCGCUGGAAGCCGUACUAAUCACGCACUAUUUAAUACCCAGGCUACAGUUUGACGUCCGAGGAACAUUAAAGGGAACAAUGAACGGAACCAUGUCGUAUCUACCGGCAGCUAUAAAUCCUGAUUUGGACGUCAAUUUAAAAUUUGUUUUUUAGCCAUUUCUUUAACCCCUAGCCAUGGGAGACCGUUUAAAAACGUUUUAGAGUUUUUGCUUUAAUUCGGGAGACCGUGAAAAGCCGUUCACAAAAAAAGUCUCUGCCUUCGGGGUCAACGGCUUUUCACGUUUUCACGUUUCCAUGUCAGGUGCGGGACAACGGAUAUUUCCGUGGUAAAAAUUAUUUAGCUGAUUCGGGAAACGGUAAAACACGUUGGCACUAAAAACUUAAAUUAUUAGGGCCUUGGUUCAGAAUCGUCCGUGGUAACACUAGGUCACUUUCAUAUAACUUCGCCCCUACUUUGCAUAGGAUGGGUUGCAUGUAAAAUUUUUGACUCUGGUUUACUAACUGCUAAAACUAUUCAAGAAAUUUAUAACGAAGAGUUAUUGAGGCCAAACCACACCCGUCUCGUGUAAUCUUGAUUUUGCCAGGACAUGUUCAUUUUUGCUAAAUUUCAACGUUGAUGAAAAACUAGUGGGAGAAAUUAGUUUAGGGUUUUCCCAGAAGCUCGACAAAUAUUUUAGUUAGUACACCAACUAUCUCAGCUAAUUUAUAUAGGUUCAGGGGAUUAUUUAAGAUACAAAAUAUGAGGUAAAACCAGCGUCGCCAAUAAAUAAAGGGUUAUAUACACCUUCUAUCAAACUCAUAAAUUAUCAAAUUGAUCUCCUCGUCUAGAUUGAGGUCUUGGCUGCAUUUAAAAAUUAAAAUAUACCAAAUGAAUGCAUAUAGUUAGUCAGAACUCUUGAUCCAAGUUAAAAAAAAACCUUAUGUAGAUCCACAAACAUGUGUGGUUUGGGACCAAUAGCUCUAUUUUACAAAUGUCUUGAGUAGUUUUGCAUAGUCAUAAUUUUGCACCAAAGUCAUAGUUCUUGACUCUAAUUAUCAUGCAACUUUGCUUUACAAUGUUACACGUAAAUUUUAAUACUCAUCAUUUAAAAUAUGAUAUUUAUUGACGUUGUCCCGCAGUCAAUUUUCUCCUAACGUGUUUUGCCGUUCUCCCGAAUUGAGCAUUUAUAAAAUCCUCCCGAAUCUAAGCAACUCAUAUAUUAAAAGUUCCCAGAUUUAGAACUUGCGAUAUUUUAAUUAUUUUUUGGCUUCCCGAAUGAUCACAAUUGUGGUCAUCGUUUCGAUGACCACGCAGCAACGCCAAACAUAGUUACCGUUUUUCCUCGGCUAAGGGUUAAUAUCUUGUCCUCAGUUUAAUACAUUUUUUUAUUUUUAAUAGAGCGUACUCACGACAACCUUCGCAUAUCUCGAUUUUUUCGCAAAUUACGUAUAACAAAAUAUCUUAUAAUGCUUACAAAAUAUGCGAUAUUUCACAAAACCUUUAGUGGAAAUAAUUGAAUCUUCUUCGCAAGUUUACCUAGAAAAUAAGCUUGUUUUUGUCGUGAGUUCGCUCAGAGUAAUCUAUAAAUUUUUUAAGUUGAAAGUGCUUACAUAAAUCCUUAAAGUAAAAUAAAAAUCUUUGCAAAAAUUUGUACCAUA